rnacentral:lncRNA from 1 species
AAUAAAGUUUGCACAAGGCUUGUCCUGCUACUUUCCAAGCAAACCCACAAUAUUUAGCAUCUCCUCGGGCCUUGGCAAAAUUAUAAGAAAUAUGGUAGAUUGCAAGUGCUUCUUCAAAUACGUCUUCUUCCUUCCUCUUGCUCUCUUCAAAUUCUGAUGCUUCGUAUAAUAUCUAUUCAGAAACAAAGGGUGGGAAAAAAGAAGAAGAGGUUUUUACCCAUAAGACCGUUUUAACUGGACAAAAUAUUAAAAAGGUGAGGAGAAUAUUAUUUGAAUUACCGCCUUGUAUUUUUUAAUGACUUCAUUUGCAGCCUCGUUUUUUGUCUCUGUAUUUUGAUUUAAAGCAUCUGUCAUAUCUUGUCUGUAGUGUUUAUACAACUCCUCCCAUUUCAUCAGGCAUGACUCGGAGACUUCUUCAUUGAAAUAAUGGAGUUUCCAAACUUCUACAAAACAAUAAUAAUAAGGCAUCCAAGACUGUCAAACUGACUUUUUAACCUAAAAUCCGCGAAGGAUUUCAAAAUUCAUAUGGUAAAAUACAAUCUUAUGAUUUUAAACUUGAAAUACCUUUCAAAGAGUAAUAUAAACUUUCAUAUACAGCACAGAGGUUUAUUGAGACAAACUUUAUAAUAUAUUAUUUAGUACAAUAUUUUACUUAUUUUAACUUUAAAUGUAAUGUUCCUUUCACCAAGAUAUUAAUAUGAGUAUAAUUAAAAUUGCAUGUAUAUAUAUAUAUAUGUGUGUGCAUACACUUCAUAUUUGAAAACGUAAUUCCUCGGUUUACAACUUUAAAAAAUAUAAAAAUAAAUAAUAAAAAUAUUUGACCAAUAAUAUACAAAAAUUAGAUGAAUAACAAAAGUUGUUCAAAAUAUAAUAAAAGAAAAGUUACAAUAAAUAUUUAUGAUAAAUGUAAUAACAUAAAUAGUUUUUUACCAUAUUUAAAAUCUUAUGAAUCCAGUGUUAAAAUAAACAAAUAUUAAAAGAUAAUAUUUCAUAUUUUAAAAUUCCAAAUAUAUAAAAAUUAUGAAAUCAUAAAAUCGCAAAAUCAUGUUAAUUUCAAAUAUAAUUUUACUAUUUAAAUCGUGGUUUUGUCUUAAUUUUACUCGAUAAUUUUUAAUGAUCUUAACUCAAAAUCAAACGGGUCAACUCAAGAUUUUAACAACUAUGUGACAUGCUGACAGCCAUAAACUUUCAAACGUAGGAAUGUAAUACUACAUCUAAAUCCAAAGUGUGCCUACAAUUUUUGGCAACUUAAUCAUGCCAUGAUGCUCAGAAGCUUCAAUUUUGAUAGUCAGACGCUUACCGGUUUCUAGUGUAUCCUCUUCCAUGUACAAUUUCACUUUGUCAUAUAUUAAUCCCAGGAUAGAGGUAGACUUAUAAGAAAUCUCUUCCUUUUUUUCCAUAUGGUGUGGAAAUAAUUCAGCCUUCAAUUGCUCUGGAAGUUCGAUCUGUUUAAAAUGGCAAAAAUGUCAAAUUCAUUUCAAAAUAGGAGCAAACAGUCAAAUCACUCUAAAUCGAAUAUUGCAAACAAUAAAUUUUGUUCUUAAAUCAUAAGGAACAAACUACACCAGUACAAUUGUGCAAAUAACUUCUAAAAGCUAAGUUGUUUCAAAUUUCAAUAUAAUUUGAUAUUUAUUUCUACUCUUCUUUCAUCAGGUUCUACAUAUAUGAUGUUCAACUUAUAAUUUUAGGGCUUGAUAGAAUAUAUUCUAAACUUUAUUCAUUUUUCAAUUUAUGCUUUUCAUUCUAUUCAAUAUACUCCGUAAAUUAGUUUAUAUUGAUUGUAUGCAAUAGCUACAGGGUACGUCCAUGCUAAAGUAGACUUUCACAUGUACAAAAAUGAAUAACUCUCCCCCCAGCCUUAAGAGCCACAAAACAAUGGUGUCAUGCGAAUAAAAUAGUUUAAAUCACCCGGAGAAAAUUUUUAACUAAAUGACGACAUAUGAUGGCUGCUACAGUUUAUGCGGCCUUGCUUCUUUCAUAUGUUAACAUAAGCACGUCCCAAACAUGACACAAUUGAAACAACAUCAAUAAUUUAGGAAAGAAAUGGAUAAAAUUAAAGCAUAGGAUAAAAAUGAAAAGGCAUCAGCAGCCCUAAAAUGAGUGGAACUACAACUUAUCCAUUUUCUUUAUAUAGGACUAAAGAGAAUAAAUACCGUAUUGUGUUUGAAAGGUCUAGGAUAUUGAGGCCUAAAAAGAAGAGCAACAGGACAAUGCAAAGAGGCACAAAAUUCAGAUGCCCUAAAAAGUUGCAAAACUCCAAAUCCCAAACAUAUUCCCAAGUCUAGGCAAGGGCUUAAUUUUCUUAAGCUCUACAAUGGACUUAAAACACCAGGAGUUUACGUAUGGAAAUGGAAAUGCGUUUAAGAAGCCAAAUGCAUAGGUGAAAAAUUAAAUGAUUUUUAAUUCAACAAUCAAACCAGAGGCAUUUAAGCUAUAACUACAUUUGCUUACCCAAUUACAAGUCUCCAUAAGCUAAAAGCUUCACCACAUGCCUUUUCAUAUUGACUUCAAUGCACUUUAAUUUAACAGACAUCAAAAGUGAUCCAAUACAUGCCAAGCCAAGUUCCAAGAAGUUAGACAAAUAAUUAAUCAAUUGCAAGACCCAGAUGAUGUCCAAAUCAGGUAACAUAAGAAUUAAGCAACAAACUUUUUCCAAUUUCAGUGACUAUUUUCAGUGCAACAUUACUGUAUGAAAGAAAAUUUUUGGGCAUAAUUUUCAUCUUUGUAUCUAGUAAGGCUGACAAUUAGCGACAAACUGUAGCAACAGGAACUUUAAGUUCACAGAAAACCCAUGCACAGGGUAGAACUCAAGGAAAUUCGACCUGAUUGAACAUUUUCAGAAGAUUACAUAUCCAAAUUCAUACUCAGCUGCAUUCUAGCUUAAAGUAAAACACACAAUCUCAGAACCUUUCCAUGUAUUAAUUCAACAGUCAAGAAAAGCUGUGAUACUAACCUUUUCCCCCCCUUUCUUUGGUGCAUCAAGAGCAUCAUAGUAUUUAUCAAUUAAGUCUAACAUGUUCCUCUUCAUGUUAUUUCUCUCAUCAUUUCUGUCAUCUCCCAAUAUCAGAAGCCUAUCCAUUAUUGCCAACCAACUAUCAGCUGCCACACCCAUAGUGUAACUGAGAGCAGCCAAAAGAGUGUACAAAUAUCUUUAGUAGAUUCCAACAGGAAAAAGCUACAGAAAUCAUAUAAAGAAAUUAUCAGGGAAAAUUAAAAGAAAAGGGGAAAUUCCUUACUACACCAAAGCAUUAUAUCAAAUGAGUGACUACCAUGUACCAUGAUCGUAUAGCAUUUACGGUUACAUGCCACUCGUUUGUUGAACCAUGUGUAAAGCACUCAUGAUUCAUGGAAAUGAUUCAUUCAUUUAGUGCAAUACUCUUGAGUGUAGCGAAGUGGUUUCCUAAAAAUAUAUAUGCAUUUGACAUUACUAAGAAGCAUGCCAGAAACUUUUAAACCUUAGUUAAAAAUCUUUUUAAGGCGUAACAUGCUUGAAAAGAUGAUUAACCCAUAUACUUUUUCAUGUCAAAUGCACAACCAUUGUGAUAUUGAAAGACAAUUUAUCUAACAUAUAGCAAAUGCAGUGAAUAAUAGCCAAACAUUGUGAAAGCAAUAUGGUCUAUUCAAAAGCAAGUGCAUACCUUGGCUGAAAUCUAGUCAUCAGAAACAGUCUGAACAACUCGUCUUCUAAUUCCUCAUCAGAAAAAUCACUAGGUUUCUUAUUAGGCACAUUACUGCUAGAAAAGGGAGGAUUCCAAGGUUCACUCUGAUUGAACUUCUCUACCAGCUGGAUGGAAAACAUUUUAGGUGCUUACAUUUCAAACUGACAGCUACUUAAUUAGGAAUAAAAGCUGGAAUUUAACUCAAUCCCGAACUUUGAAGAUUAAGCAACAUAUAUCAUCACUGGUAAUCAGUCAAGAAUCAACAAUCAAACAUAAGCAAGGACACACAUAAGCCAAAAAGGUCAUGCACCAUUGCGUGGAAAAGCAAUCAAUUUCACAUAUUCCAAGCAACAGGAGUCCAAAUUUUUUCCUCCUGCUGCCCCUUCUCCAUUUGAGUAAAAGAAAGGGAAAACAAGGACUAGAAAUCAUGACCUGUCUCAGCUCCCAAAAAGUAGGAGUCAAGGUAAAACUAGUAUUCAGCGGUCAACAGCAUAUCACAGAAAACUUACACGACUAAGGUAGUACAUGAAACACAGCACAUGUUCAUUUUGUAAUACACAUUUUUAAUAUCAACUUCUCUCAAUACUUUUUGCUUAAUAGAUUUGAAUAUAAGAUUUCAAAAGUUCGUGAUUUAUAAGAGAGAAUACCUACGACUUACCACCUCUCCCAAGAACACUUGAUGUGUAGCCUACAGAACCAAUGAUCAUUAUACUUGCUAAUCAGCCUAGUCUCAAACUCUUGUUCACUUGAGCACAAUCAAAUUGGCUGUCAACACUUCUACUUAUGGGUGUGUAUUCAACCAUUGAAACUGAAGACCAAAAUGAAUCAAUUAAAUUCAGUUUUUUGGUUUAGGCCUUUAGUUUUGGUAGGUUCAUUCAAAAAAUUUAACUAAAACGAACUGAUAUACGGAAAACACAUAUACCCUUUGCCAUUUCACAAUAUACUCAGCUGCUUAGAGAAAUUAUAAGUGUCUUUCAAUGUUCCCCCAUCCUGAUGCCCUAAACAUCUCAUCCUUGGUCUCUAGAUAGUAGCUUUGUGCUCUUUUCGAGAUCCCACUCAUCUUAUUUCUCAUCUUUGGCACUGGACUUGCCUUUUGCUUCUCCACUGUCGCUGCAUCACUUGCAGUUAUCCUUACAACUGUUGGUUCUACUCAGGUGCACCACCUUUUUCUCCCUCCUGCAUUGGAUCCACAAUGUUUCUCAGUGGUUCUGCAAUUUUGCAUCUGUGGCAUGCUACCCUGCAUGUGAAAGCUGAUUCAAGACUCUCGAGUUUGUGGCUCUUUCAAGUAAUGUUGUCUGUCUCAUCUUUCAAGUUGCAGAUUUUCCAUUGUUCUUCUCCACUAAUAUGUAUCUCAAUAAGUCUAGAGGUAGAGGCAGAGGCAGAGGGAGUGAGGGCAUGAGGGACAUUCUUAGUAUUUGGUGGUCAAAUUCCACUUUCCACCAUUCUUUUGGAUGUGUUGCUUUUGGUUUGUAUUGUGAUUCGUUAGUAUUUUGUUCUCAUUUUAUGGCUUUUGUUGGCUAAUUAUGUUAGUUUGAGAAUGAUAAUGUUAUUUAUUGUUACUUUGAUUUGAUAUAAGACUGAUGUUGGAUUUGUUUGAAGAACUGAUGGACUGAACCCAAUUGAACAGAUUUAUUUCAAUUCAUUUCAAUUUCUGAAAAAAUGUUACUUUGGUCAUUUGAUUAUCCUUUUUUUUUCAAUUCAGUUCAGAACUGAAUAUAUCCAUUACACACCCAUAUUUUACUCUCAUGAACUAAUCCCUACCCACUUCCAGACUCGUACAUUCUGGCGCAAGGACGAUCCUUGGCUAUUUUUCACUAAAAUGUAGGUCUUGAUGGGAACCUAUCCAUGUGCAAGCAUAGCAAAUU